GCCGGCGUGGUGGAAUGGCAGACACAUCGGACUUAAAAUCCGAAGGGGUGAAAACCCCGUGUGGGUUCGAGUCCCGCCGCCGGCA
rnacentral:tRNA from 1 species